rnacentral:rRNA from 1 species
GCGUGCGGGAGGAAGGUCUUCGGAUCGUAAACCGCGUGUCGGGAGGGAAGGAAGGCGACCGGGGGGGGAAAGUACCCUGGUUCUGACGGUACCUCCAAAGGAAGCACCGGCUAACUCCGUGCCAGCAGCCGCGGUAAUACGGAGGGUGCAAGCGUUGUUCGGAAUUAUUGGGCGUAAAGCGCGCGCAGGCGGCCGAAGAAGUCCAUGGGUGAAAGGCCGGGGGCUCAACCCCGUGCAUGCCCAGGAUACUGAUCGGCUGGAGACACGUAGAGGCAAGCGGAAUUCCGGGUGUAGCGGUGGAAUGCGUAGAGAUCCAGAAGAACACCGGAGGCGAAGGCGGCUUGCUGGGCGUGAUCUGACGCUGAGGCGCGAAAGCGUGGGGAGCGAACAGGAUUAGAUACCCUGGUAGUCCACGCUGUAAACGAUGGGCACUGGAUGCGGGGGGGAUCGGCCCUCUCCGUGUCGCAGCUUACGCGUUAAGUGCCCCGCCUGGGGAGUACGGCCGCAAGGCUG